rnacentral:rRNA from 1 species
UACGUAGGGCGCAAGCGUUAUCCGGAAUUAUUGGGCGUAAAGAGCUCGUAGGCGGUUUGUCGCGUCUGCCGUGAAAAUCCGGGGCUCAACCCCGGACUUGCAGUGGGUACGGGCAGACUAGAGUGUGGUAGGGGAGACUGGAAUUCCUGGUGUAGCGGUGAAAUGCGCAGAUAUCAGGAGGAACACCGAUGGCGAAGGCAGGUCUCUGGGCCACUACUGACGCUGAGAAGCGAAAGCAUGGGGAGCGAACAGG